UUUCUUCGGAAUGAAUUUGAUUUAGUUUAGUGGCGGACGGGUGAGUAACACGUGAGCAACCUGCCUUUCAGAGGGGGACAACAGUUGGAAACGACUGCUAAUACCGCAUGACACAUAGAGAUCGCAUGGUUUUUAUGUCAAAGAUUUAUCGCUUCAAGAUGGCCUCGCGUCUGAUUAGCUGGUUGGCGGGGUAACGGCCCACCAAGGCGACGAUCAGUAGCCGGACUGAGAGGUUGAACGGCCACAUCGGGACUGAGAUACGGCCCAGACUCC
rnacentral:rRNA from 1 species